rnacentral:rRNA from 1 species
UUGACCUCGGAUCAGGUAGGACUACCCGCUGAACUUAAGCAUAUCAAUAAGCGGAGGAAAAGAAACCAACAGGGAUUGCCCCAGUAACGGCGAGUGAAGCGGCAACAGCUCAAAUUUGAAAUCUGGCCCUCGGGUCCGAGUUGUAAUUUGCAGAGGAUGCUCUUGGCGAGGCACCGUCCGAGUUCCCUGGAACGGGACGCCAUAGAGGGUGAGAGCCCCGUAUGGACGACUGCCGAGCCGCUGUAGAGCUCCUUCGACGAGUCGAGUAGUUUGGGAAUGCUGCUCUAAACGGGAGGUAAAUCUCUUCUAAAGCUAAAUACUGGCCACAGACCGAUAGCGCACAAGUAGAGUGAUCGAAAGAUGAAAAGCACUUUGAAAAGAGAGUUAAACAGCACGUGAAAUUGUUGAAAGGGAAGCGCUCAUGACCAGACUUGCGCCUGGCGGAUCAUCCGGCGUUCUCGCCGGUGCACUCCGCCAGGCACAGGCCAGCAUCGGUUCGCUGUUGGGGAGAAAGGCGGAGGGAAUGUGGCUCCUCGGAGUGUUAUAGCCCCCCGCGCAAUACCCUUCGGCGGACCGAGGUUCGCGCAUCUGCAAGGAUGCUGG